AAGCGCAAGAUUCCUUACCAGCGGUUUGAGCAUGCAGUACAGCACCGCUCGUAACGGAGCGUACCCGCAAGGGACGGCUGUUACAGGUGCUGCAUGGCUGUUUUGUCAGCUCGUGUCGUGAGAUGUUGGGUUCAGUCCCGCAACGAGCGCAACCCCUAUCGUUGGUUACACGUGUCCAGCGAGACUGCUCCUACAAGGGAGAGGAAGGCGGGGAUGACGUCAAGUCAGCACGGCCCUUACGUCCUGGGCUACACACACGCUACAAUGGCCGGUACAACGGGACGCCAACCAGCGAUGGGGAGCCAAUCCCAGCAAAACCGGUCUCAGUUCGAAUUGGAGGCUGCAACCCGCCUCCAUGAAGUCGGAGUUGCUAGUAACUGUGGGUCAGCACACCACAGUGAAUACGUUCCCGGGUUUUUGUAUCUUCAUCCGAAGG
rnacentral:rRNA from 1 species